rnacentral:rRNA from 1 species
GCCCCUUAUCAAGCCGAAUAUAACCUAACAUGAUCCCACAACCACGUCUAUAAUCAAUAAAACAUUUUAUUAUUUUAGUAGAGGCGAUCGAAAAAAAUUUUUAAAGCGCUUCAUAUAAAGUACCGCAAGGGAAAGAUGAAAUAUUAUGAAAUAAACCUCAAGCACAAAAUAGCAGAGACACCCCCUCGUACCUUUUGCAUCAUGGUUUAGCCAGUCCUUAUCAAGCAAAGCGUAACCUCAGUUUGAUCCCCCGAAACUGGGCGAGCUACUUCGAAAUAGCUUUCUAGAGCAAACCCGUCUCUGUUGCAAAAGAGUGGGACAAUUUCCAAGUAGAAGUGAAAAGCCUACCGAGCCCAGAGAUAGCUGGUUAUUUAGGAAAAGAAUUUUAGUUCAUCCUUAAGACCCCCCCCAAUUAACCCAAACAAAUCCCUAGACUUAAGAAUUAUUCAAUUAAGGCACAGCUUACUUGAAAAAGAACACAAUCUAGAACUAAGGGUAAGUUAAACCCCUUAUGAAAAGUGGGCCUGAAAGCAGCCACCUUUAAAAAAGCGUUAAAGCUUCCCUCCCUAUCCUCAUCUCAAUCCCAAAACUCUUAACGAACCCUUCACCACUACUAAAUAGCCCUAUAAAAUAUAGGAGUUAUAAUGCUAAUACUAGUAACAAGAAUUAGACCUUCUCCAUAAUGUAAGUGUACAUCAAAACGGACCCACCAUUGACUAUUACCGUAUAUGAGCUUAAUAUAGUAACUACACAAGAAAAAACUAUAAAUUUUCAACGUUAACCUUACACAAGAACAUUCCUGGAAAGAUUAAAAGAGAAAGAAGGAACUCGGCAAAUUUAAGCCCCGCCUGUUUACCAAAAACAUCGCCUCUUGAAAACCUAUAAGAGGUCCAGCCUGCCCAGUGACACAGUUCAACGGCCGCGGUACCCUAACCGUGCGAAGGUAGCAUAAUCACUUGUUCUCUAAAUAGGGACUAGUAUGAAAGGCACCACGAGGGCUUUACUGUCUCCUUUCUCCAAUCAGUGAAACUGAUCUCCCUGUGAAAAAGCAGGAAUAUUAAUAUUAGACGAGAAGACCCCAUGGAGCUUUAAACCCAACAACAACCCAAACGCUUCAGCCCCUCACAGUUUUUAUAAAGUACUGCUUGUUGGUUUUAGGUUGGGGUGACCGCGGAGAACAAAUUAACCUCCACGACGUAUGGGACUAACCCCUUACCCGAGAGCUACUCCUCGAAGGAUUAACAAAUUAACGUUAAAUGAUCCAACUCAUUGAUCAACGGACCAAGUUACCCUGGGGAUAACAGCGCAAUCCAUUUCUAGAGCCCCUAUCAAAAAAUGGGUUUACGACCUCGAUGUUGGAUCAGGGUACCCCGGUGGUGCA